CUCACUCCUCCUCUGUUGUUAUUUAAGGAAAACUUCAGUGUUUCCCUUUCUGCUCUCUCUCUCUCUCUCUCUCUCUCUCUCUCUCUCUAACUGGGUGUGGUUUUCAAGAGGCAAACUUGUGUGAAUGAUGUGGACGCUCUAUAGUCAUAGCUUUGACUGAGUCCACACCCUUCAGCUAAAAGAAGAGUUUGGAGGAGGUGGAGCAAAACGAUUGGAGCAGGGUUUGAGCUUGGACUUGAGUUUGAGUCUUUUGCAGACAACAAGUACGUACGCUGUGACCUGUGUCGUGUUCGUGCUGCACUCUGUGACUUUUGGAUCUCUUCAGUUUGAGCAUGUAGAGGCAUCAGGGUUUUUUUUCUUUUUCUUUUUUUUAACUGUCUCCACUGAAAGACGUGAGAUGGAGGAAACACAUUAUUUGGUGCAUUCUCAGUGAAGAUGAGGAUCCUGAAACAAGAGAGAUGGGUAAGAGAAGAGGGUGGGAGGGAGGAGGGCAGGGAGAGCUUACUCAUACAGGAAGGAAGUACAGGAAAUGUCCCAUCGGGAAAACAAGUAGCAAUGUAAUUGUGAACCCUGAACUCAUUUACUGUCUGGGUGGUCAUGAAGGGAAAGCACUGAUUUUGUGUGUGUGUGUGUGUGUGUGUGUGUGUGUGUGUGUGUGUGCUACAAGUAAACAUACAGCUACUCAUGUAUUUAGGGAAAAAAAAGACUUUUCUAAAUGGUGCUUGACCACACAGUGCUGCUAACAUUGUUUGUUGUGUGAAUCUUGAGAUUUAAGGAUUUUUAAAAUGCUCAUUCAACAAUAACUACACAAUAUCAAAAACACUGUACAUGUUUAAUCUUUUAAUUAGAUUUAUGUUAAUAAUUAGUUUUUCUUCUCUUUCCUUCCCUCCACCAUUUUCAUUCUAUUUUAUUUCCAUGUCAAUUAUAUGAUCUUGAAUAUUGUAACUUCUUAUUUUGCUUUAAUGUUUAAAUCUUAUGAACCACUUUACUUCAUGUUAUAAAAGUCCUACAGCAAUAAACAUUCAAAGGCAACACAGCAGCAUCUUUUGUAACUGGGUGAAUCAACCCUAUAAAUUGAAUCUUAAAGGCCCCUUCAUUUGAUUUUUGUAUUAAACUGUGACAGAAAGUACAGCUCAAUAAUUCAAAUGAGUAAAAAAAGAGUAUGGCACAUAUCAGUGUUAUCUGUUUACUUUAACAUCCAGACUUCCUGUGGAGAGCAUACCUGUUGUUUGCUUCCCCUUGUGGUGAUAACAGGUUGGUGCAGGUUCCUGGGCUCAACCUCCUGUGCCUACUGAGCUGAUUACAGUUAGAUGUAAUACAAGCACUGGCUCAGUUCAGCAGGAACCGGAGUUAGGCCCUUUAGAAACAACGGCGAAUCGGCAUUCAACUGGAACUAAUCUCCUGUCCAAUUAAAAUACCAGAGUAUAUGUACAAUUAUAAUCUAUAUGUGUAAUCAGUGUUUGCCGUGUAUAUUGUGAUAUAUGUGUAGCAGUGCUGUGUAAGUGUUUUCUCCUACUGAAGCCAUCAUUAUUUCUUUACUGCUCUGAAAGGCAAUUAGACUUUUUCUUCCACAAAGCCUCUCAGAGUAACAGCCAAAGCGUAAUCAUCCUUAAUCAGAGCCGAGGAAGCACAGAACUCACAUAAAUGUACCCACACACAUCCUCUCUGAAUUUAAAGCUUUCACUGUAAAGCUCAUGAUGGAGGAAAUCUGCUUCUGUUGGUUUGGUAUUACUAAAAGAUCACAGGAGCAGAGUUUUUCCAGUUGUAUUCUCCACAUCAAGCUAAGCAAAGGUUCCCGGGAAACUCCUUUGGGUGCGAUUUAAGUGUCGCAGUUCAUUCCAGUAACUCUUUGAGGUGCCUUCAUUCAGUUCCUUCUGGUGCUUCUAGCAACAUACGUCAGCCACGACCUUGAAUAUGAUCUAAUGAGAAUAUUAGUUUAAGGUUAAAACUACUUAGAAAAUAGAUUGUUGCAGAUGAAUUAUGUUCAUGAAACAGUUCUUAACCCUCCCGUUGCCCUUUGUAUUGCCCUUCGUAUUCUGUAUACUGUUUCCUUCUUACUAUUAUUCAAAAACAGAAGAUAACCGCUUCAGAAUUACAAAUUUCAUGCACAACAACAAAUCCUACUACACACACACACACACACACACACACACACACACACACACACACACACACACAAAGGCACAUUGUCGGCCACUAGGUCACUUUGACCCAGAGGACAACACGAGGGUUAAACAUUACUACUGUUUACUUAUAACCAGUGGUGCAAAUUAACUACUGUAAGUACAUGUACUUCUGAGAAUACUUCUUGUAAUACUUCUAACUUCUGACUUCUAAUGCUGCUAAUUUGUUUUUGCAUUGUUGUACCAGUGCUUUUAUUUAAGGAUCUUAACACAUCUUCCACCAGUGCUUAUAAAUGCUACUGUUUUGCCACUUAAGUGUACAUCAUUGAUUAUCCACUCACUGAGCACUUCAAGGGUUAAUUUAACUGAAAUCCUCUUGAGUUUUUCUAGUAUUUGAACAUCACUCAAGAUGGUGACGGGAGAUUCCUUCAGGGGGAAGUGCUGAGGGGAAGUCGGUGUGGGUUUGUACUGGAACACACAUAUGCAGCGGGUUACUUCUGCUGGGGACGAGGACAAGGCUGUCAAACCAAACGCAAAAAAAUGCUGAGUCACUGACACAUUUUUUCAGCGCAUUCCUGUUUUACUCGCAUAAGUAGAUGAUACACACACCAUGUGCAGCAUGAGUUGUAGUCAGAGAGACAGCGACCAGGGGCUUUCUGUUAGCAGGAGAAAGAUCUUUUUUUCCUCCCAAAUGUACAGUACAUAUAUUUCUUAAAACUGUUUGUUACUCUCACAUUAAGUGGGGAUAUCUAAUGAUGGAUGACAUGAUUAAAAUGAGCCACAUUGUGCUUCUGAAAUUCAAUUCUGAAAUUGAAUGUAUAGGUCAAUCACUACAGCAUAUAUGCCAGGUGGGUGUUACGUCUCAGCUGAAGGACAUAAUUAUUUUAGAGCUAAAACAAUCAGAUGACUGAUUAAUUAAUAGACAAUAAUACUAAUAAUUAAUUAAUUAACUGAUUUUUUCCAUGUUUUUUCCAGUUAAAGGCUUUUUUAGAGAGUUUAUCUUCAUCUGAUUCGAUUGAAAGCAAACAUAAGCUCUUGGACAAGAAAUGUGUCCUUUUUUGACUGCUGUUGCUGCUUAAUGAGAAAAGUGCAGCUGAUCCAACAAGUCCUCUGAAUUGCAAAUGUAAUACACAUACACUGUCACUGUUAGACUGCGUUUUUGAAAGUUAAUUUUAGUUUCCUAUCACUUUUUUUUUUAAAUAACUCUGCCUCUGAAGAUGUAAGAAGUCAAAUCUGGAAGAUAAAGUUCAGCCUUGACGUGGCCGAAAAAAAAAGUCUGAAUAUUCAGUAACUGGUGGUACAUUUCAUUUCUACUCAAACCACAUCUAAUCUACUUGGAAAAAGUGCUUUAGUCUUAUGUAAGUAGGAUAUUUUCAGCUGGAUUUGUCUCUGCCUUCUUCACACCUUCAUUGUCUGCUGCAAGCAUAUAACAAUAAAGCACAAAAAUUAGAUACUAAGAUCUGUUUAUCAUUUAUAAAAUGAAUCAUUAUGUAAGAGCUUCUUUGGACACAGCAGUUAGUGAUAGAGACUGCACCUCGUUCAAUAAAUCCUGUACUGUAGCUCAGUGCUUAGACAAAGAUUUCAUUCACCAAUUUGCUGCAUAUUGUAUUCGAACAAUAAUCAGUAAUAAUCAGUAACUAUGAGUUAUGUUGGGGAAAAAUUUGAUUUGGGGGAUGGAAACAUAAUAAAAGUGACAUUAAAGAAAUGCAAUGUUUGAAAGCUGUGAUUUUGCUCCUGCAAAAGAUAGAGGAUAUGAGAGAUUUGUUUUUAGGUCCUCAUCCUUGUUCUUUCUCUCUGUCUGGAUUCUGCAGCCAUGAGUCAUGUACCUGUCUUUGUCACAUGGCCUGUUGUAUCAGCACACAAAAGCUCCAGGUUAAUGUGCGCACAACACACCUGCAUUCACACAAACACCACUCUUACAUAACCCUCAGUUUUUCACAGAUAGCAUGAGCCCACUCCGACAGGCUGAGACAGUCCUGCGAUUCAUGACAGCUACACUGAGUACAGGCUGCAGUCUCACUCUGACUUUUUAAAAAUCACAAAAUUAAUACAUAAUCGGUGUGACUUUUUCUACAUAUUGAAAGUAAGACAGCUGUAAUGUUAUUCUGAAGGAGAAGCCAGUUUGCGUGACAACAGAUCAUCUUCCCUAUGUGAGAGAAACCACAGCAACAGCUGUGCGCGCGUGUAUGUCUGCAAAUGUGCGUUUGUGUGCAUUUGUUGAGAGAAACUGGUGUUCAAUAUGAAAAUAAAUCAUUUAAAAGUG